rnacentral:lncRNA from 1 species
GUGCUAGCGCGGCUUCCCGGCGCUCGUGGAAUCUUCUGGAGCCCUUUUCUCCACUCAGCGAGCCUGAGAGUGCGGAAGUCUCCGGCUGGUGGGGCAUGGCCCAGGAGCACUGCAAGUCCUAGGGUUCCCAAACCUGUGGGGUGGCCGCCUGGGCCCGCGAGGGCGGGAAGGGCUCGAGUACAGUGACCCAGCGGGAGCUGUGUGUGAACGGGAAAGCUCUUGGAACAGUCUUGCCCCCCCCCCCCCCCCUCUUACGGGCGCCUCUUCUCUUUUUGGGAACGUGGCGAGCAAAAAAUGCUUGAGCCAGGCAAUCACACCAUCACGGGAAACUCCAAGGUUGGGAAUAUACCUGAAAAGUGGAAAGAAUUCGGGAAGAAUACUGCUGCACAGAUAUGAGACUGAACAAAAUGACUUUUAAUAGCCCUUCAAAAUCUCAGACUCUUGGUCUAGAUAAUACGAACUCCUAGAUACCAUUUGGCAACGUUUAUUUAAAAAAAUUCAGUUGAUAACAUUUUGUGUAUAUACAUCUUCUAGAUAAUUAUUUUAAUUCUUCACCUCACCUUGUCAAAUGUAUUCUAACUUAAGUUUGAUAUUUCAUCUGAAUUUCCUUCCCUGCACAAAAAUUCAGAUGCGGAUAUGAAUUGU